rnacentral:tRNA from 1 species
GGGGUUGUAGUUAAUUAUAACAUUUGAUUUUCAUUCAAAAAGUAUUGAAUAUUCAAUCUACUUUA